rnacentral:rRNA from 1 species
AAUUUUUUUUAGGUUGACCUCGGAUCAGGUAGGAAU